rnacentral:rRNA from 1 species
AUUGAACGCUGGCGGCAGGCCUAACACAUGCAAGUCGAACGAGUGGCGGACGGGUGAGUAAUGUCUGGGAAACUGCCUGCUGGAGGGGGAUAACUACUGGAAACGGUAGCUAAUACCGCAUACCAUCGGAUGUGCCCAGAUGGGAUUAGCUAGUAGGUGGGGUAACGGCUCACCUAGGCGAAGAUCCCUAGCUGGUCUGAGAGGAUGACCAGGCACACCGGAACUUGAGCAAGGGCCAGAAUCCUAAGGGAGGGAGCAGGGGGGAAUAUUGCACAAUGGGCGCAAGCCUGAUGCAGCCAUGCCGCGUGUAUGAAGAAGGCCUUCGGGUUGUAAAGUACUUUCAGCGGGGAGGCGUUACCCGCAGAAGAAGCACCGGCUAACUCCGUGCCAGCCGCCGCGGUAAUAC